UACGUAGGGAGCAAGCGUUGUCCGGAAUCAUUGGGCGUAAAGAGCGUGUAGGCGGUCCUGUAAGUCCGCUGUGAAAGUCAAGGGCUCAACCCUUGAAUGCCGGUGGAUACUGCAGGACUAGAGUCCGGAAGAGGCGAGUGGAAUUCCUGGUGUAGCGGUGAAAUGCGCAGAUAUCAGGAGGAACACCGAUGGCGAAGGCAGCUCGCUGGGACGUUACUGACGCUGAGACGCGAAAGCGUGGGGAGCAAACAGG
rnacentral:rRNA from 1 species